rfam:Lactobacillus saerimneri 30a contig00033, whole genome shotgun sequence.
UGUGGUGACGAUGGCAAGAAGGAUACACCUGUUCCCAUUCCGAACACAGAAGUUAAGCUUCUUAACGCCGAAAGUAGUUAGGGGAACGCCCCUUGUGAGGAUAGGAAGUUGCCACGC